rnacentral:rRNA from 1 species
ACCGGGGGAUAACAGCUGGAAACGGCUGCUAAUACCGCAUAAGCGCACAGAGCUGCAUGGCUCGGUGUGAAAAACUCCGGUGGUAUGGGAUGGGCCCGCGUCUGAUUAGGCAGUUGGCGGGGUAACGGCCCACCAAACCGACGAUCAGUAGCCGGCCUGAGAGGGCGACCGGCCACAUUGGGACUGAGACACGGCCCAAACUCCUACGGGAGGCAGCAGUGGGGAAUAUUGCACAAUGGGGGAAACCCUGAUGCAGCGACGCCGCGUGAGCGAAGAAGUAUUUCGGUAUGUAAAGCUCUAUCAGCAGGGAAGAUAAUGACGGUACCUGACUAAGAAGCCCCGGCUAACUACGUGCCAGCAGCCGCGGUAAUACGUAGGGGGCAAGCGUUAUCCGGAUUUACUGGGUGUAAAGGGAGCGUAGACGGCAAGGCAAGUCUGAUGUGAAAACCCAGGGCUUAACCCUGGGACUGCAUUGGAAACUGUCUGGCUCGAGUGCCGGAGAGGUAAGCGGAAUUCCUAGUGUAGCGGUGAAAUGCGUAGAUAUUAGGAAGAACACCAGUGGCGAAGGCGGCUUACUGGACGGUAACUGACGUUGAGGCUCGAAAGCGUGGGGAGCAAACAGGAUUAGAUACCCUGGUAGUCCACGCCGUAAACGA